rfam:Triticum aestivum genome assembly, contig: Triticum_aestivum_CS42_TGACv1_scaffold_222108_3B
UACCUACUCCCUCCGUCCGAAAAUACUUGUCAUCAAAAUAAACAAAAGGGGAUGUAUCUAGAACUAAAAUAUAUCUAGAUACAUCCUCUUUUAUUCAUUUUGAUGACAAGUAUUCCCGGACGGGGGGAGUACUAU